GACUGAGGAGGAGAAAGCAUAUCCCAGAGGGCAGCCUACAUCCGCAGUUGACUUGGCUGCAUGAGGCUGAUGACAGACCUCCAGCAGCUCCAUAAAGUCAGUGGAGCGAAGACUGCAUCAGUGGACAGACACUGGAAAGGCUGGCCUGUGCGACAAAACAGUAGGGCCUGUUGAAGCUGGGAUCCAAGACAGACAUGCUCGACUUCACUGAGGGGUCCAUGCAGCCCAGGGGGCUGUGAGGCAUCUGUGCUAUCCUGUGCUCAUUCCACAGGGGAGGCAGGUAGCUGCACAGAAGGGCUGGUGGAGUGAGAGCCUUUAAUGGAGCUCAAGCAGUCACACUGGGCCAGACUCAGCCAGGGACUCCCAGGUGACCUUGGAACAGGUGGUUUCUGUGGCUUUCUUUCCUCUUCUCCAAAAGUGAAAGACCUGAAUGGUAAUUUCUAGGGUUCCUCUAAGUCUAAAAAUCACCACUCCACCCCAGGGAACAUGGACAUUGGAAAUGACAAGGUAAUCCAGCACCAAGAAUGUGGGCCGUGGAGGUGGCUUGCCCAGGUUUGAAUCCUGGCACUUUGGCCUCCUGUGCAAGUCACAUUAAGUUAAUCUCUAUAAGCCUCAGAUCUCUUGUUUGUAAAAAUAGAAUGUUGCACUCCCAAGGGCCCUUGGGAGGAAACAGAGUGGGCGGUACACACAGUUCCAGCCACACAGCCUUCCUCAUGAGGCCAUGCAGGUGGUUCGCAGGUGAAAUGCUUAGAUGAGAAGGGCUGUAACUCAUGGGUGGACUAGUCUGUCUAUGGAUUAAUAAUUUGAAAGAACUACUAAAUGGUAACUUACAUGGGUGUGGCUGGAGGAAAUAGGUCACUAUGCAUGUGGCCUUGGAUGAUAUCUGUCCCUGGCCCCCUUUCUCUCUCUCUGUCUCUCUCUGUCUCUCUCUCUCUCUCUCUCUCUCUCUCUCUCUCUCUCUCUCUCUCUCUGUGGGGCUGGGGAUUGAACCUAGGGCCUUGUGCACAGGAGGCAGCACUUUACCAACUGAGCUAUAUUCUCCAGCCCCUGCUCUCUAUAUCUCUCUGCUUCCUGGCUGCCAGGAGCCCAGCAACUUUCCUCCAAGACACCCUACUGCCAUGAUGUUCUGCCUCACCUCAGACAUGGAGCAGUGGACUGGGCCAAACAUGGACAGAAUCUCAGAAACCAUGAGCUCAAAAUAAACUUUUUCUCCUCUAAGUGGAUCCUGUCAGGCAUUUUGGUCAUGAUAAUGACAUCUGACUAAAGCAAUGAUUGUUAUGGGCAAGGUGGGGUAAAUGUUUUCUAGAGCUCACCAUGAAGGACAUACCUAAGACAUUUCUUUUAUAAAAUACUGAUGGAUGCAUUUUACUAUGGGGCAAAGCCAGGCACAGAGGCAUAGCCAUUCAUGGAGUAAAGAUUUCUAUCCAGUGUUUCUAGGAGAAAAGGGAGAGUAGUCUGGUGGCAAGAGAGCCAGGUGCAUGGGACAGGAGUUGAGUAUAGAAUGACUGAGCUCUGAUGAAAGAUCAUGCCAGUGAGAGAACGCCACAGGUAUGGGGGUGCUGAAGGAGAAGAACCAAGACCAGACAAACCCAGAAGGUGACCCUUCCCCAAGGCUGAAGGAUGUGCCUCAGGAGAGGCAUGGAAGAAAUCACCCGAGUGGCCAUGGUGAGCCAUCUGGAGCUCAUGGAAGCAUGCAGAGAGGAUGGAGACACCUGUGUGAGCAGGGAGCCAGGUGCCCAGGGUCCUGUAAUUACUGCUGCACUGAUGUGGGGUGUGGUGUUGUAUGAGGUCCUGGUUUCCCUUUCUGUGGAUACAAGCCUGGAUGAGGACAUUUUUUUUUUGGUGGGUCUGGGGCUUGGUGGUCAUCUGGUAGUUCUGUUUGAUUUUUUGAGACUCUCAUGCCAUUUACCCUGAUCCCCACCAGCUACAAAGGCAUGGUUGCCUUCUCUCCGCUCUCUGAUAGAAGCUGUCCUAAGAGGCAGGAGGUGUUCUCUCUUGUGGGGUGAUUUGCAUGUCUUUGAUGGUUAAUGACAUGGGGCAACUUUUCUGAUGCCAUUUUUAUAUUGGGUAAAUGUUGUUUCCAGUUCCACCCUUCUUCUUUUUGAUCCUCUUCCAGAUCCACUUCCUCCUUCUUUACCUGAGUGGGCCUCAUUCCAUUUUGUACCAUAAAACUGACCCUUUUUUCUUCCAUUUCUCUAUGUUCCUUUACUUCUUUCAUUUGUUUUGAGAAAUAUAAUAUUUCAAGUGGUAAUGAACACACUAACGGGUUCUCAUUUGCUUUAUGUGUAGUUUAAUUUAAAAACCAAAGCCUUCUAAAUAGACAUAUGCAUCCAUAAAUUGCACGCAAAUAACACACAGUAUUUACGUUUUGAUGGCUCAUGCUGUAAACACUGUUCCAUGGUUUACUUUUUCCAUCAGUGUCUGAUUUUUCAACCUCUCUAUGCUAUGAUGUGCUGUGCUGUAAGUGUGAUGUGUAGUUCUGGCUCCAGCUGACCCUGUGGCAUGGUCCCAAGUUCACACUGCAGUCAUCCUUCUCCAACUUGGGUAGCUUCUUCUGCCCUGUCUGUUUGGUUCGUGCUUCAUCGUAUGUGGUAUAAUACAACAUCGUGUAUUACGUUAAGGUGGUUCUUUCUCUUAGACUGUAAAUUCCUUUUGGGCAGAAACCCUAUUUGAGUUUCCUCUGGAUUCCAGCACUUGAUGAGCUUGCACCCCACACAGCACACAGUCAACUGAAUGCUAGAGGUGGGGCUGGGCGGUGUGGCAGCCUCUCCAAGGGCAAGC
rnacentral:lncRNA from 1 species